rnacentral:rRNA from 1 species
GGGUACGAUCAUACCAGCACUAAUGCACCGGAUCCCAUCCGUACUUCGAAGUUAAGCGUGCUUGGGUGAGAAUAGUACUAAGAUGGGCUUUGUCACAGGACUUCCACAUACAGAGGCAA